rnacentral:rRNA from 1 species
GACGAACGCUGGCGGCGUGCUUAACACAUGCAAGUCGAACGAUGAACCCGGAGCUUGCUCCGGUGGAUUAGUGGCGAACGGGUGAGUAACACGUGAGUAACCUGCCCUUGACUCUGGGAUAACUGCGGGAAACUGUAGCUAAUACCGGAUACGACCCUCGGCGGCAUCGCCAGGGGGUGGAAAGAAUUUCGGUCAAGGAUGGACUCGCGGCCUAUCAGCUAGUUGGUGAGGUAACGGCUCACCAAGGCGACGACGCGUAGCCGGCCUGAGAGGGUGACAGGCCACACUGGGACUGAGGAACGGCCCAGGCUCCUACAGGAGGCAGCAGAGGGGAAGAUUGCACAAUGAGCGCAAGCCUGAUGCAGCAACGCCGCGUGAGGGAUGACGGCCUUCGGGUUGUAAACCUCUUUUAGUAGGGAAGAAGCGGAAGUGACGGUACCUGCAGAAAAAGCACCGGCUAACUACGUGCCAGCAGCCGCAGUAA